GUUCCUGUGUCACCAUGGCAGACGCGAUGAGGAAACCUGUGCACUCGAAGCCUCCGGUGUCGCUGGGCAUGUACAGGAGUUCGUACAAGAGGGACUACGGGUGGUACGAUGAGAACCAGCCAACCUCCGAGGUGUACGCGCAGAAGCUGAAGUUUGCCGAUGCCCAGCUGAAAGCCAAGGAGUUCUCCGUGCCUGAGGAACCACGGGUGAUGACAUACAGCGAUGCUGGUGGGGAAGGACGAGGAGUCACCCCCGGCCCUGGGGCUGUGCGAAGGAGGAAGCAAGAAGGCAGCGCCUCCAGCCCCCCACCAUUUCAGCAGGCCGAAGAAGAGCAGCGAAUGCGCUUGGGUUCAGCCCUUCCCCUUGCAGAAACCUACCUCCCGAGGCCCUGCCCUGCCGCCAAGCUGACAGAAACCCAGGCGGAGAGAUUGGAGAGGCCGCGGGCUCUCAGUGAGCUGGAAAACGAGCUGCCUUCUUCCCAGCGCCUUCUGGCUGCUGCUCGCGCCCCCGGAGCAGCAGGGAUGUUGCUGCACAGGCAGAAGCUGGAUCCGACCUGGGGCACCUACCAGCACUUCAUGCUGGAGACGGGCCGGGCAAAGCAAGAGGAGGCUCAGCAGAACAAGAACAUGUUCCUGGGCUCCUCUGUUUUGGCGGAAGAGUGUUUUGACCUUGACCGGAGAAGUACCUACACCACAGACUUCCAGCGCUGGCCUGCAGCCCACGAUGGAUGCUGCAAAGCAAAUAAGAAUAUUUCGCACAUUUUCCCUGAAGAUGGGCACUUCCAGCAGAACUGCUGGGUGUCUGAGUACAAGGACAAUUACAGCAUUUUCUUGCAUAGGCUGAACCGAGCGGCUCAAGAGCCCACCACGGGGCUGAGCUCUGCCUUGAAGCCCCCCAGGCUGUCCUCCCAGACUGGAGUUGCACUGGACACGGCCCCGUGAGCCAUGCUCCUUGGCUCUCUAAACUGUGUGAUAUUGCCCACCGGAGACCCUGGAAGCCUGGAAACCUCUCUUCCAAAACCCCCAUUACUGAAUACUUUUUAAGUGUUCAGCAGAAUUUUUUUUUACACAUAUAUUUUCACUGAAAUCUCACAAGAAACCUGAGCUUUUAUUGUUGUCAGAAAAAAAAAAAAAAAGGAUUUUUUGGACGAUGCAAGUUACAGAGCUAAAGCCACUCAGUUUCAAUUCAUAUACUCUAAAUAAAAAUUUCCAGUAAACUUUGUCUUACA
rnacentral:lncRNA from 1 species